rnacentral:rRNA from 1 species
AGGCAGCAGUGGGGAAUAUUGGACAAUGGGGGAAACCCUGAUCCAGCCAUGCCGCGUGUGUGAAGAAGGCCUUCGGGUUGUAAAGCACUUUAAGCGAGGAGGAAGGUUUGCUAGAUAAUACCUAGUAGAAUUGACGUUACUCGCAGAAUAAGCACCGGCUAACUCUGUGCCAGCAGCCGCGGUAAUACAGAGGGUGCAAGCGUUAAUCGGAAUUACUGGGCGUAAAGCGCGCGUAGGCGGUUUGUUAAGUCGGAUGUGAAAUCCCUGGGCUCAACCUAGGCACUGCAUCCGAUACUGGCUAACUAGAGUGUGGGAGAGGGAAGGUAGAAUUCCAGGUGUAGCGGUGAAAUGCGUAGAGAUCUGGAGGAAUACCGAUGGCGAAGGCAGCCUUCUGGCCUAACACUGACGCUGAGGUGCGAAAGCAUGGGGAGCAAACAGGAUUAGAUACCCUGGUAGUCCAUGCUGUAAACGAUGUCAACUAGCCGUUGGGGACCUUGAGUCUUUAGUGGCGCAGCUAACGCGAUAAGUUGACCGCCUGGGGAGUACGGUCGCAAGACUAAAACUCAAAUGAAUUGACGGGGGC